rnacentral:rRNA from 1 species
AGCCAUUAGAAGAUAUUUAUGGUYUAACCUGCCCAAUGUAUUUUAUCAAUGGCCGCGGUACCCUGACCGUGCUAAGGUAGCGUAAUAAUUUGGCUUUUAAAUGGAGUCAGGUAUGAAUGGAUUAACUGGGUUUAGCUGUCUCUUAGGUAUUUUUUUGAAUUUACUGUUCAAGUGAAAAAGCUUGAUUUAAAUAAGGGGACGAGAAGACCCUUAAAAUUUUAUUUAAAGUGAUAAAUAAUCACUACAAUUUUGUUGGGGCGACAUAGAAAUAAUUACAACUUUCUAUUUUAUACAAGCCGAAUUUUUUAAGAUAGGAAAAAUUACUUAAGGGAUAACAGCAUAAUUCUAAAAUUGAGUUUGUGACCUCGAUGUUGGACUAGGAAGCUAAUAGGUUAGAUGCUUAUUGUGCGGAUUCUGUUCGAAUUAUAACUCCU